GAUGAGCGCUGGCGGCGUGCCUAAUACAUGCAAGUCGCGCGAACAGACGAGGAGCUUGCUCCUCUGACGUUAGCGGCGGACGGGUGAGUAACACGUGGAUAACCUACCUAUAAGACUGGGAUAACUUCGGGAAACCGGAGCUAAUACCGGAUAACAUGUUGAACCGCAUGGUUCAACAGUGAAAGACGGUUUUGCUGUCACUUAUAGAUGGAUCCGCGUCGCAUUAGCUAGUUGGUAAGGUAACGGCUUACCAAGGCAACGAUGCGUAGCCGACCUGAGAGGGUGAUCGGCCACACUGGAACUGAGACACGGUCCAGACUCCUACGGGAGGCAGCAGUAGGGAAUCUUCCGCAAUGGGCGAAAGCCUGACGGAGCAACGCCGCGUGAGUGAAGAAGGUCUUCGGAUCGUAAAACUCUGUUAUUAGGGAAGAACAAAUGUGUAAGUAACUAUGCACGUCUUGACGGUACCUAAUCAGAAAGCCACGGCUAACUACGUG
rnacentral:rRNA from 1 species